UACGUAGGGUGCAAGCGUUGUCCGGAAUUAUUGGGCGUAAAGAGCUCGUAGGCGGUUUGUCACGUCGGAUGUGAAAACUCGGGGCUCAACCCCGAGCCUGCAUUCGAUACGGGCAGACUUGAGUUCGGCAGGGGAGACUGGAAUUCCUGGUGUAGCGGUGAAAUGCGCAGAUAUCAGGAGGAACACCGGUGGCGAAGGCGGGUCUCUGGGCCGAUACUGACGCUGAGGAGCGAAAGCGUGGGGAGCAAACAGG
rnacentral:rRNA from 1 species